rnacentral:rRNA from 1 species
UUCAAUAGCGUAUAUUAAAGUUGUUGCAGUUAAAAAGCUCGUAGUUGGAUCUGGGGCUUAGGCUGGUGGUCCAUCUAGCGAUGGUUACUGCCUGUCCUGGCCUUUACCUCCCGGUCUAUCUUUGUUGCUCUUGACUGAGUGACUCGGGUUGCCGGAACGUUUACUUUGAAAAAAUUAGAGUGUUCAAAGCAGGCUUUUUGCCUGAAUAAUGGUGCAUGGAAUAAUGGAAUAGGACCUCGGUUCUAUUUUGUUGGUUUUCGGAACAUGAGGAAAUGAUUAAGAGGAACAGACGGGGGCAUUCGUACUGCUGCGUUAGAGGUGAAAUUCUUGGAUCGUAGCAAGACGAACAACAGCGAAAGCAUUUGCCAAGAAUGUUUUCAUUAAUCAAGAACGAAAGUCAGAGGUUCGAAGGUGAUCAGAUACCGCCCUAGUUCUGACCAUAAACGAUGCCAACUAGCGAUCCGCCGGAGUUACUACAAUGACUUGGCGGGCAGCUACCGGGAAACCAAAGUCUUUGGGUUCCGGGGGAAGUAUGGUUGCAAAGCUGAAACUUAAAGGAAUUGACGGAAG